GUGGGAGGGGGCUUGCUCCCGAUAGCGGUCUAUCAGGAUAAGUUUUAUAGCCUGGCACACUGCUAUCGGGAGCAAGCCCCCUCCCAC
rnacentral:misc_RNA from 1 species